rnacentral:rRNA from 1 species
CUACGUGCCAGCAGCCGCGGUAAUACGGAGGAUGCGAGCGUUAUCCGGAUUUAUUGGGUUUAAAGGGUGCGUAGGCGGCCUGUUAAGUCAGCGGUGAAAUCUAGGAGCUUAACUCCUAAAUUGCCAUUGAUACUGGCGGGCUUGAGUGUAGAUGAGGUAGGCGGAAUGCGUGGUGUAGCGGUGGAAUGCAUAGAUAUCACGCAGAACUCCAAUUGCGAAGGCAGCUUACUAAGGUACAACUGACGCUGAAGCACGAAAGCGUGGGUAUCAAACAGGAUUAGAUACCCUGGUAGUCCACGCAGUAAACGAUGAUAACUGGGCGUAUGCGAUAUACAGUAUGCUCCUAAGCGAAAGCGUUAAGUUAUCCACCUGGGGAGUACGCCGGCAACGGUGAAACUCAAAGGAAUUGACGGGGGCCCGCACAAGCGGAGGAACAUGUGGUUUAAUUCGAUGAUACGCGAGGAACCUUACCCGGGAU